rnacentral:rRNA from 1 species
UACGUAGGGUGCGAGCGUAAUCGGAAUUACUGGGCGUAAAGGGUGCGCAGGCGGUUCUGCAAGUCAGGCGUGAAAGCCCCGGGCUUAACCUGGGAAUGGCGCUUGAAACUACAGGACUGGAGUAUGGCAGAGGGAGGUGGAAUUCCACGUGUAGCGGUGAAAUGCGUAGAGAUGUGGAGGAACACCGAUGGCGAAGGCAGCCUCCUGGGCCAAUACUGACGCUCAUGCACGAAAGCGUGGGGAGCAAACAGG